CCUACGGGAGGCAGCAGUGGGGAAUAUUGGGCAAUGGGCGCAAGCCUGACCCAGCAACGCCGCGUGAAGGAAGAAGGCUUUCGGGUUGUAAACUUCUUUUGUCAGGGAAGAGUAGAAGACGGUACCUGACGAAUAAGCCACGGCUAACUACGGGCCAGCAGCCGCGGUAAUACGUAGGUGGCAAGCGUGGUCCGGAUUUACGGGGUGUAAAGGGCGUGUAGCCGGGUUGACAAGUCAGAUGUGAAAUCCUGCGGCUUAACCGCAGAACUGCCUUUGAAACUGUUGAUCUUGAGUACUGGAGAGGCAGAUGGAAUUCCUAGUGUAGCGGUGAAAUGCGUAGAUAUUAGGAGGAACACCAGUGGCGAAGGCGGUCUGCUGGACAGCAACUGACGGUGAGGCGCGAAAGCGUGGGGAGCAAACAGGAUUAGAUACCCCAGUAGUC
rnacentral:rRNA from 1 species